rnacentral:rRNA from 1 species
UACGGAGGAUGCAAGCGUUAUCCGGAAUUAUUGGGCGUAAAGCGUCCGCAGGUGGCUAUGUAAGUCUGCUGUUAAAGCGUGAGGCUCAACCUCAUAAAAGCAGUGGAAACUACAUGGCUAGAGUGCGUUCGGGGCAGAGGGAAUUCCUGGUGUAGCGGUGAAAUGCGUAGAUAUCAGGAAGAACACCGGUGGCGAAAGCGCUCUGCUAGGCCGCAACUGACACUGAGGGACGAAAGCUAGGGGAGCGAAUGGG